rnacentral:rRNA from 1 species
CCGAAUAGGGGAGCCGGAGGGAAACCGAGUCUUAACCGGGCGUUAAGUUGCAGGGUAUAGACCCGAAACCCGGUGAUCUAGCCAUGGGCAGGUUGAAGGUUGGGUAACACUAACUGGAGGACCGAACCGACUAAUGUUGAAAAAUUAGCGGAUGACCUGUGGCUGGGGGUGAAAGGCCAAUCAAACCGGGAGAUAGCUGGUUCUCCCCGAAAGCUAUUUAGGUAGCGCCUCGUGAAUUCAUCUCCGGGGGUAGAGCACUGUUUCGGCUAGGGGGCCAUCCCGGCUUACCAACCCGAUGCAAACUGCGAAUACCGGAGAAUGUUAUCACGGGAGACACACGGCGGGUGCUAACGUCCGUCGUGAAGAGGGAAACAACCCAGACCGCCAGCUAAGGUCCCAAAGUCAUGGUUAAGUGGGAAACGAUGUGGGAAGGCCCAGACAGCCAGGAUGUUGGCUUAGAAGCAGCCAUCAUUUAAAGAAAGCGUAAUAGCUCACUGGUCGAGUCGGCCUGCGCGGAAGAUGUAACGGGGCUAAACCAUGCACCGAAGCUGCGGCAGCGACGCUUAUGCGUUGUUGGGUAGGGGAGCGUUCUGUAAGCCUGUGAAGGUGUGUC